rnacentral:misc_RNA from 1 species
UGUAAAGGAAAUGAAACGAAUG